rnacentral:rRNA from 1 species
UCCCUACGGGAGGCAGCAGUGAGGAAUAUUGGUCAAUGGGAGAGAUCCUGAACCAGCCAAGCCGCGUGAGGGAAGACGGCCCUAUGGGUUGUAAACCUCUUUUGUCGGAGAACAAAACCCGGGACGUGUCCCGGACUGCGUGUAUCCGAAGAAAAAGCAUCGGCUAACUCCGUGCCAGCAGCCGCGGUAAUACGGAGGAUGCGAGCGUUAUCCGGAUUUAUUGGGUUUAAAGGGUGCGCAGGCGGGAGGUCAAGUCAGCGGUAAAAUGUAGGGGCUCAACCCCGGCCGGCCGGUG